GAUGAAGAACGCAGCGAGAUGCGAUAAGUAAUGUGAAUUGCAGAAUUCAGUGAAUCAUCGAAUCUUUGAACGCACAUUGCGCCCAUUAGUAUUCUAGUGGGCAUGCCUGUUCGAGCGUCAUUAAGUCCACUUAAGCCCUGCUUAGUGUUGGGAGACUGCUCCAGCGGUGCUACCCUGUAGCUACCCUGCAGCUCCUCAAAGACAGCGGCGGAGUUGUGGUAUCCUCUGAGCUUAGUAACUUGUUCUAGCUUUCGAGUACACCACUUCCCCUGCCGUAAAACCCUUAAUUUUUAAUGGUUGACCUCGGAUCAGGUAGGAAUACCCGCUGAACUUAAGCAUAUCAAUAAGCGGAGGA
rnacentral:misc_RNA from 1 species